CUUAUAUUAAAGCAAAACAACCUAGCCACAUGUCAAAAUCUUAUGUCAUUUUAUUGAUGAUGUGACAUUGCUCCUUUUCCAAAGAAUUCACUUUGAGCAGCAAUUGUUUUCUCCUCACAUAGGGCUUCUUCAUUAAUACCGCGUCUUUGUAUUUUCAAUUAGGAAAUCCCAAUCUGUUUUCAAUCAAAUCCAAUCAUUCUCCAAAAUUAUGAAUUCGUUUCCUUUGUCGAUUAUAAACCCUAGAUGUAUAAGCAGAUUCUUCAAUCGCGAAAAUAACAUAGUCUUCAUCUACACUUUCCAGAGGAUUCACGUCUGGAUCCAAACCCUAGUCAUAUUCAACCAUCGCAUUCAUUUGUACGGAUUCCGAUGAUCAGUGGUGGAUCACAUCACUUGGCAAUUUCUAAGAAAUUUUGUUAUGAAGUAUGGAUUAGAGAUUAACUCUUCCUCCCGGUCUUAGCCCUAUCUCCUAACUAGCAUUAAAGUACACAUAUUAAUAUAACAUUUCGUCUUAGCCAUUUGGAUUUUGCUUAACUUUUAUUGAUUUGGAGUUUGUUUUAGUAUUUUUUUUAACUUGUUUAUCCUUUUAAUUUAUGGGUUUAUUUGGUUUCGUAAAAGGAAUAUAAUUUUUUUUUAAUUU